rnacentral:rRNA from 1 species
AGUGAACGCUGGCGGUAGGCCUAACACAUGCAAGUCGAACGGCAGCGCAGGAGAGCUUGCUCUCUGGGUGGCGAGUGGCGGACGGGUGAGGAAUACAUCGGAAUCUACUUUUUCGUGGGGGAUAACGUAGGGAAACUUACGCUAAUACCGCAUACGACCUACGGGUGAAAGCAGGGGACCUUCGGGCCUUGCGCGAUUGAAUGAGCCGGUGUCGGAUUAGCUAGUUGGCGGGGUAAAGGCCCACCAGGGCGACGAUCCGUAGCUGGUCUGAGAGGAUGAUCAGCCACACUGGAACUGAGACACGGUCCAGACUCCUACGGGAGGCAGCAGUGGGGAAUAUUGGACAAUGGGCGCAAGCCUGAUCCAGCCAUACCGCGUGGGUGAAGAAGGCCUUCGGGUUGUAAAGCCCUUUUGUUGGGAAAGAAAUCCAGCUGGCUAAUACCCGGUUGGGAUGACGGUACCCAAAGAAUAAGCACCGGCUAACUUCGUGCCAGCCGCCGCAGUAA